GCCUGGCAGGCUUAGUCGGUAGAGUAUGUGACUCUUAAUCUCGGGGUUGUGGGUUUGAGUCUCACAUUGGGUG
rnacentral:tRNA from 1 species